CGCGUCAUCGGGGACAGUGAGGUAGGUUUCCGUGUCAGCGCGUCAGGAGGAGCUAAUGGCUGCGGAGCGACCGGAGCGGCUUCACUGUGGUUGAUGGACAGACGGGAUCUGAAGGGAACUGGUCACAACAGACGUGGUGAUAACCGAUGAGGCCUGAAGAGCCCGGAGGAGAAGGCCUGAGGGUUCAGGGACGUUCUGGUUGAUCCUAGAAUCUGCUCCUUGUAGAAGAGCCUGAUGGAAACAGGGAAUGUUCUGAUUGGAGAAGCUGGAAACAGGAACUUCUACCAAGAAGAUGUGUUGCUAAAUAAUUCAGCAAAAUAGUUUUUGAUCAACAAAUCAUCUUAGAUUUUGGUUUAAGUAUUGUCUGCCAUUUAUUUUCUUUAGGGUUCGGGCUAAUGAACCAGGUCCAGUGGUGGAGCAGGACCUCAGCCUGGCUGCAGCCACAUGUGUUUCUCCUCAGAUGGAGAAUCUCAGGCUCCGGACACUUGUUUAUCUGUUGCCUGUUGCUGAGUUGUUCAGAGUGUGUCUCUGAGGAACUCGUCUGGUUUACAAAUGGAGGAAAGAACUUUCUACGAGUAGUCGGAGCUUCAGCCGAUGAUCCCCCCCCCCCCGUGUUGUGUCUCAUCGUGCUCGUCUUCCUCACACACCUUCACCUCCCGGCUCUGCAGCCCAGCCCGGCCCAGUGGACCCCUCCCUCUCCCCAGGCCUCGAGCCCUCCCAUCGGC